rnacentral:rRNA from 1 species
CAGUAGCCACGGGAACACGAAGGGUGCAAGCGUUACUCGGAAUUACUGGGCGUAAAGCGUGCGUAGGUGGUGGUUUAAGUCCGUUGUGAAAGCCCUGGGCUCAACCUGGGAAUUGCAGUGGAUACUGGGUCACUAGAGUGUGGUAGAGGAUAGUGGAAUUUCCGGUGUAGCAGUGAAAUGCGUAGAGAUCGGAAGGAACAUCUGUGGCGAAGGCGACUAUCUGGGCCAACACUGACACUGAGGCACGAAAGCGUGGGGAGCAAACAGGAUUAGAUACCCCUGUAGUCCCUGUCUCUUAUAU